CAAACUGCAAAAGAUCCCUCUAAAAAUGGAUCCAUUCUCCUCGGCGGCGAUUGCCCGUCAAACUAGGGAACUGAAAAACAACAUAGUGACGUAGGCUAAUUUCCAACAAGAAAAGCCGUGGGCCAACGAUCCACACUAUUUAAUCGCGUGAAGAUCUCUACAGUAGCCCUCUAUAAGAUUAUAGUCCAUGCUCGCUCCGGCGACGACAUUGAGGUCAUGGAACUCAUGCUAGGAAAGACCGAUGAUGAUACUAUUAUUGUUAUGGACUCAAUUGCUGACUGAACGAAGAUCUGGGAGCGAAAUGCUUGAGAGAUGAGAAUAGUAUUGCAAGGCUAAUCGAGCAGGCACUGAGAGGUUCGGUGAAGACGAGAUUAAGAAUGAUGGUUUUGCUAAUUACCGCCUGUGUAGGGAAUCGAGGCCCACCGUCGUCGGUGGAAGCCAUGACGGUCGUGGUGGAGUUCUGGGAGAAGAUGACUGAGUGGGCUUAAGGGUUUUAAACACUCGCACGAUUGAUUGAACAAUUUCACGUAAUUGACUUUACUGGGAGGAAUUG
rnacentral:lncRNA from 1 species